AACGAACGCUGGCGGCAUGCCUAACACAUGCAAGUCGAACGAAGGCUUCGGCCUUAGUGGCGCACGGGUGCGUAACGCGUGGGAAUCUGCCCCUCGGUUCGGAAUAACAGUUAGAAAUGGCUGCUAAUACCGGAUGAUGACUUCGGUCCAAAGAUUUAUCGCCGAGGGAUGAGCCCGCGUAAGAUUAGGUAGUUGGUGGGGUAAAGGCCUACCAAGCCGACGAUCUUUAGCUGGUCUGAUAGGAUGAUCAGCCACACUGGGACUGAGACACGGCCCAGACUCCUACGGGAGGCAGCAGUGGGGAAUAUUGGACAAUGGGCGAAAGCCUGAUAGAGCAAUGCCGCGUGAGUGAUGAAGGCCUUAGGGUUGUAAAGCUCUUUUACCAGGGAUGAUAAUGACAGUACCUGGAGAAUAAGCUCCGGCUAACUCCGUGCCAGCAGCCGCCGUAA
rnacentral:rRNA from 1 species